UGAGUACACUCAUCAUUACGAAAACCUAACAGGAAGAAAAGUCUGGCAUGUGGGCCCCAUCCACCACAUGGUGGAACAAAGCAUUAAGAAACCUGUGAUUGUCAACGAGACCAGACACGAGUCUCUCACGUGGCUUGACUCAAAGGAGAAAGACUCGGUUCUCUAUGUUUGUUUCGGAAGCCUCACUCUUCUUUCCGACAAGCAGCUUCAUGAACUGGCCACCGCCCUGGAUGCUUCCGGACACUCUUUCAUCUUGGUGGUUCACCGGAAAAACAAAGAGGACCAUGAGGAAGAGAAGUGGAUGCCGGAGGGGUUUGAGGAGAAAAUAGGGAAGGAGAAGAGAGGGCUGUUGAUUAAGGGGUGGGUGCCGCAGUCUUUGAUCUUGAGCCACUCUGCUGUGGGAGGGUUUUUGACGCACUGUGGGUGGAACUCGGUGGCGGAGGCCAUCAGUGCUGGUGUUCCGAUGGUGACCAUGCCGGUGUUCAGUGAUCAGUAUUAUAAUGAGAAGCUAAUAACGGAGGUGCACGGGUUUGGGGUGGAGGUGGGUGCGGCGGAGUGGAGCAUUUCGCCGUACGAGGGGGAGGAGGAGGUGGUGAGUGGGGAGAGAAUAAAGGAGGCCGUGAAGAGAUUGAUGGAUAAAGGAGAUGAAGGGGAGAAGAUAAGGAAGAAGACGAAGGAGAUGAAAGAGAAAGCAUGGAGCGCUGUUGAAGAAGGUGGAUCCUCACAGAAUAGUAUCACUGCUCUCUUGGAUCAUCUCAAACUUCUCUUGCCUAAAUAGGCUAACGACUCUUCACAUCCCAAUUAUUACUCCUCUUCAUCUCUCCUUUUACCGGGACGAAAUUUUUCUUUUUCUUUUCCAUUUUUAUCGGAGUGCUUUUUACGAUGUUCUUGUCAGAAAAAUAUCACUAUUUUUAAAUUAUAAUUUGGAAUUGCAUUGUGAUACAUGGAUUACUGCAACCAAAAUGUUUUGUUAAUCAUUAACAAUAUGUUCACUAACACGUAUUUAACGCUUUACACGUGAUAUUGAGGGAGGAUGAUAUUGCAAUCACAAUCAGACCCAUUAUAAGGGUAUGUGGACCCAUUUGGUUAAGGGUGUGUAUAGAUCAGGAAGAAAGGAGAGAAUUUAAGAAAGUGAUUAGAGAUGAAAGUGUGAGGAAAGUUAUGUUGUUUAGAUUAAGGUAUAUGUAGAGUAAAUUUUUAGAAAAGGUUUAUUAAAAUUUGUGAGUGAUGUGAUGUAUGUAGUAAGAUUUUUAAUUUUUUAAAAUAUUAGAAUGUAAAUUUAUAAAUUUAUCCUAAUUUUUAAAAAGGAAAAAUAAAUUUUAGUAAUUAAAAUUUUGUAUAUUUUUUUAUUUAUUAUAAAUAAUUUUUUAUUAUUAUUAAUUAUUAGUAUUUAUAUUUUAAUAAUAUUAUUAAAUAUUUUUAUUGUUUAAAUUUAUUUAAUAUUUAAUAUUUUUAUUGUUAAUAUUAUUAUUUAGUAAAUUUAUUUUAAUUAUUAUUAUUUAUAAUUUUAUUACUUUUUUUUAUAUUAUUAUUAUUUUUAAUUUUACGUAUAUUAUUAUUAUUUUAUAAUUUUUAUAUUUAUAUUAUUAAUUUAUUUCUUUUAUUAUUAUUAUAUAAAUAUAUUUAAAUUAUUAUAUAAAUAUAUUUAUAUUAUUAUUAUAUAAAUAUAUUAGUUUAUUAUUAUUAUUAUAUUAUAUUCUUCCUAAUUCUUUGCUUUUCUUCGCAUUGGCGCAGGAUGUAAUUUCCUUCUUCUCCUGCAUAUGAGCUCUUUUCAUUCUUCAUAAUUGACUGGAAACAAACGUGAAAUUCUCUUGCAAAUCAUUGCCUUUCAAUCCGAGUGAAUAGUAUUCACUCAGAUCCAAACACAACCUAAAUGAUUAUAUCUAAAAGGAUCUCUUUUAUUCUUUGUAGGGAUUAGACCCCCUUUUCUGUUAGGAUUAUUUGUUAUAGUUUUUCAGUAUUUUCAGCACAAUUGUCUAUUAGAACAAAUAGCUUUUCAAAGGGUAUUUUAUAUAUCCUACUAGACUAGGAGAGUAUGCAUGUUUUUGGUUAUGUUAUUUUUAUCCUAAAAGUUGUUUUUUUAUUCUUUUAUAUCUCUAUCCCAACACUUUUUGUUCUUCCCCAUCCCCGCUCCAUCACUGUAUCAAUUUGGUGUUUUCAUUGAACCUAUCUCCAUGCCUCCCAAAUCAAUCAAAGAUUUAGAGGAAACCCUCCAAACCAUUUUAGACAAACUAGCCCAACUCCAAACCCAAAUCCAACAAACUCAUGACGUUAGAGGUGGGGGUCGAGUCUUGGGCCUCACACCUGAGAUGAUCCUCAAUUGUUUUAUUUCAGGUUUGGUCCCAGAAAUCAGAAGAGAGAUUUUUGUUCUUCAACCUACCUCAAUCACCCAAGCCAUGGGCCUUGCGAAGCUCUUGGAAUCUAAAAUCCAUGAUUCAAGGAAAUAUUACCGUAACCCAUCAUUCCACAACCAUCCCCCCAUCUUUUACCACCACCAUGUCCCCUUUUCCAACCCCAAACAAAAACCACUGCACUCACCUCUACUUAUAAAAAAACUUUCAUCCACCUAAUUACAAGAACGUAGAGCAGCCGGCUUAUGUUACAAUUGUGACGGAAAAAAAAAUUCCUGGUCACAAAUGUAUCACCAAACGUUUCUUAAGACUUCUUAAUGAAGAACCUACACCAGAAACCCCCUCCUCCCCCCCCCCCCCCCCCCAAACCCCUUCCACAGUCUUAGAUAUUGUUUCUGACACUGAUGACCCUACUCCUGUACACCUAUCUCUCCAGGCCUUUUCUGGAACCCCCUCGGCCUACACCUUCAAACUUCAGGGGUUUAUUCAUCAUACACUCGUUACCAUUUUAAUAGACACUGGGAGUUCACACAAUAUCCUCCAACCUCGCCUAGCCCAUCACCUCAACCUUUGCACCCUUCCUAUUAAACCUUUUUCCAUCAUGGUUGGAAACGACGAAAAAUUCAUUGCACACAUCUCAAUCCUACAGUUACUGUUUCUAUACAAAAUCAUUUUUUUUCCAUCCCAUUUUACCUCAUCCCAAUUGAAGGAGCAGAUGUAGUCCUAGGAAUGGACUGGUUGCGCUGCCUCGGACCCCUACAAGCAGAUUUCUCUACACCACAACCCUCUUUCCAUCAGCAAGGCACCCUCAUAACCCUAGUUGGAACCAUCAAACUCUUAGACACACACGCUUCUGUCACCAAUAUUUGUCACCUCCUACAUACCAAAGCCAUAACAUGACUUCAUUUGCUCACCUUUCAACCGGAUCCCUUACCAUGCCCCAACCCUUCCCCACCAAGUAUACACCCCACGAUUCAAACCCUACUCCAUACAUACCAUUCAUUUUUCUCACCUCCUCACGGGUUGCCUCCCCACCUCCCCCAUGACCAUCACAUUCCCUUGAUCCCAAACUCCACCCGUAUAAAUAUCAAACCCUACCGUUAUCCCCACACCCACAAACACACUAUGACUUCUCUCAUUCAAGAAAUGUUAUAUGAGGGCAUCAUAUGACCAAGUACCAGCCCCUUCUCUUCCCCUAUCAUACCCAUAAAAAAAAAGAUGGAUCAUAGAGAUUUUGUGUGGAUUACAUGGCUCUAAAUGUUAUCACGGUGAAGGAUAGAUUUCCUAUCCCCACGAUUGAGGAACUCUUGGAUGAAUUAACUGAGGCACGCGUGUUCACUAAGCUAGACUUAAGAUCUAGCUAUCACCAAAUACGGGUAAACCCCACAGACUGCAACAAGACAGCUUUUUGAACCUUUGAUGGUCAUUAUGAGUUUUUAGUUAUGUCAUUUGGCUUAUCUAAUGCUCCGUCUACCUUUCAAGCUGCAAUGAAUGACCUCUUCUAACCUUAUCUAAGGCGUUUUAUACUAGUUUUCUUUGAUGACAUCUUAAUUUAUAGUACAUCCAUGACAGACCAUAUUCAACAUCUCAACAUUGUUCUCCAAUUACUUCAGACUCACCAGUUUUUUGUUAAAGAAUCAAAAUGCAAUUUUGCAGCCCCUACAAUUGCCUAUUUGGGCAAUAUCAUUCAACAGGGAACGGUUUCCCCGGAUUCAUAAAAAAUUCAAGCUAUUCUACAGUGGCCCGAGCCCAAAUCAUUCACUACGUUGCGUGCGUUUUUUGGCAUUACGGGGUUUUAUCGGAAGUUUAUUCACGGAUAUGCCACUCUUGCCUCUCUACUCACGGAUUUACUCAAAUUGAAAGUUUUUACAUGGAAUCACAUGGCCAACACAACCUUUCUACAGUUCAAAAAUAUCCUAACUACACCUCCUAUCUUGAACCUCCCUGAUUUCACCAUUCCUUUUGUAGUAGAAACAAACACUUCCAAUUUCGUCAUUGGAGUUGUUUUAUCUCAAGCAGGGCACCUUAUUGCCUUCUUCAGUAAGAAGCUAUGUCCAAAGAAACAAAGCAGUUCAGUAUACGUUAAAGAGAUGCUAGCAAUUGCUGAAUCUGUUAAGAAAUGGAGGCACUAUCUCAUUGGCAAUCACUUUCAAAUUAUCACAGACCAACAAAGUUUAAGGGGAUUACUUACCAGCACUUGCCAUACACCGGAACAACAAAAAUGGGCUUCACGACUUAUUGGGUACAGUUUUGAUAUCCUUUAUCGGCCCGGACGUCACAACCAAGUUGUUGAUUUCCUUUCCAGGCUACCACCCUCAGUUUUCUUAACCAUCUCUUCCCCACUACCCGAGCUCAUCACCAAAUUAAAAAAAUACUAUUAGACAACAAAUGGACAACAAGAAAAAACAAAAUUGAUAGGUAUUCUCAAUUCAAAUUUCAAUUUUCACAAUGACUUACUGUACCACGGCCAGAACUUUACAUUCCAUCAGCAAUCAACCUCCGCCCAUCCAUUCUUCACGAGUUUCAUGCAACCCCAUCCGCAGGGCAUUCCAGUCUCAAAGCCACUCUAGCUCGUUAAGCUGCCUCUUUCUAUUGGUUAGGUAUGUACAAAGACACAAAAUUGUUCAUCAAAGAGUGUCUCCCCUGCCAACAGAACAAACCCAUCAACAAAAAUCCUUAGGAUUAUUACAACCCCCCCCAACCAGAAUUUGGGAUGAACUAACAACUAAUUUUAUUACCCACUUACCAUCAUCUUUCGGCCAUACGGUUAUUUUGGUGGUCUGUGACCGACUUUCAAAAUCAGCUCAUUUCAUAGCCCUCCCCACAUCCUUCACCGCCUUCCAUCUAGCCAAUCAUUUUUCUGUGGAGAUCUAUAGGUUGCAUGGCAUUCCGAAGUCCAUAAUCUCAAACUGAGACCCGCUCUUCCUCAGUAACUUCUGGAAUGAGCUUUUUCACCUACAAGGCACAAAACUGAAAUUUAGUACGGUUUAUCACCCUCAGAUAGAUGGUCAAACCGAGGUUAUCAACAAAAGUUUAGAGAUAUACCUUCGGUGUUUCACCAGUGACCAUCUGCGGAGUUGGUACAAAUACUUACACCUCGUCGAGUUUUGGUACAAUUCUUCUUACCAUUCGGCCAUCAAAACAACCCCGUUCCAAGCAUUCUAUGGAAGACCACCACCAUCUAUCCCGGAUUAUGUGUCCGGUACUGCAUCAGAACCCAAUCUGGAAACCACCCUCAAAGAGCGAACGCAGAUAUUGCAUCAGUUGAAGACAAAUUUGCCGUUGUCACAACAACACAUGGCCAAGACAGCGAACAUUGGACGACGUCAUUAUGUUUUCAUCGUCAGCGAUUGGGUACUCCUCCGACGAAAGGCUUACCGCCAAACAUCCCUCACCGGCUCCCCUCACCACAAGCUUUCCCGAAAAUUCUAUGGCCCAUACCCUAUUACCAAACACAUUGGUGAAGUGGCUUAUGAAUUAGCUCUCCCACCAGAUUUCAAGAUUCACCCAGUAUUUCACAUAUCUCUUCUCAAACCAUAUCAUGGACCAAAACCCCCUCUACCCCACCACCCUCCCAAUUAGGAAAUAAACUCGCACCUUUUGCACCCUCCCAACAUAAACCUAAGUGAAACCUUAAGUGAGACUUCAAGCUCGCCUAACACAAUCCUAAUGCCAUCCACACACGCCACGUGUCCUCCAUCAGGAGCCCUCAUUAAACCCCUCCACCAACCAGCCACCUCUGCUUCACGGACCCAUUUACUCCCACAACUACCCUCACCUACCCAUUUACUUCCACAAGUAAAUGCACCUAACCAUCUACCCACACCAUCAAUGCACGCCACGCCAUCUCCAUCAAUGACCCACACUGUACCACGUCAUCAACACCCUGCAACACCUUCACGUGACUCUGUGCCACAUUCAAUACAAGUAGUUGGCACGCACCCCCUUUCAACGUUACAAAACCCUUCCCAUUCCCAACAUUUCCCUUUGGGCUUCACAUGUCAUUCUACAACCCACUCUCAACCCCCUUUGCUAACACCACACCCCAACAUGACCCAAAAGCCCGCACCAAACCCAACACACUUUCCCAAUAUAUUCCCACCCUCUCACAUCUACCCCCACACCACAGAAAUUACCUUGGCCCACCAACCACCACCCACAUCAAAUAUUCCAACAUUUUUUCCCCAAACAAGCUCCCACCAAAAAAAUAGCGUGGCCCAAUCCUUCUCCCCCCAAACACCAACAUUCGCUCUCAAUAAAACAAUAACCACACCACCCCGUUUUACCUUCCGCACCCCUAGUUCCUAUACCACCGUGUCAUCCACCACAACUCCUCCACCAAGUUCAUCAAUCUCAAACGUUGAGGACAAGGUUACUCUGCAAGGGUCGACUAUUGAUACUGGACUCACAACCACAAGGCUCAUUAGAAGGGUAUCUAGGCCCAUUUGGUUAAAUGACUAUAUCUAAAAGAAUCUCUUUUGUCCUUUGUAGGGAAUGGAUCCCCUUUUCUGUUAGGAUUUUAUGUUAUAGCUUUUCAGUAUUUUCAGCACAGCUGUCUAUUAGGACAAAUAGCUUCUCAAAGGGUAUUAUAUAUCCCACUAGACUAGGAGAGUAUGCAUGUUCUUGGUUAUGUACUUUUAUCCUAAAAGUUGUUUUUUUUUUAUUUUGUUAUAUCUCUAUCCCAACACUUAUUUUUCUAGCUUUCUUUGUGUUCUUCCUCAUCCCCGCUCCAUCACUGUAUCAAAGGAUGUGGUAAUGGAGUUCUUUAUAAUUGUGAUGGGAGUGAUGUGGCAAGAAGAAUACUUUUGUAACAAUGUUAGGGUUUAGGCAUUAUUACACUCAAUGAAUAUGAGUGUUUUUUUCUACGUGAUGUUUUAAUAGAGCGUACAUAAUCGUAAUGGAGAAAGGGAGGUUAUGAUAAUUUGAUCAUCUAAUUAAUUUGUUGAGAAUUUAUGUUAUGUAACAUGCUAUUUAAAUAUUUUGUGUAAAAGAGAAACUAAUAUAUAUUGUGUUAUUUGAUUAUAGUGUAUUUUGUUAGGUAUUGUGAAAAUUAGGAAAAUAUCAAGAAGGGAGGGUUGAAUGUUUAUAGUCGUUGGGCAACUUCAACUUCUAUAAAUGUUCAUUUUACGUCUAACGAGCUUUAAUAUGAUCUUUGCAUUUAGUACAACUUUGAUUUUCGCGCAUUUCUCUUUGCAACAUCCUUGAUAACUAACAAUGUUGAUCUCCUAAGUAGCAUAGUCUUUAGCACCAAUUUAUGGUUACAGUGCAUUCUAUACAUGAAAAAUAAUCAGGUUAGAUUUGAAAGACUCCUUGUGUCAAGAGGUUCAUGAUGAAAAUAACUUUAACUUGUGUCUCGAAAAGUCUUUGAUAUUUGUUUUAUAUUUGAUGUUGAACGGAUUUCAUUGGCAAACAGACAUUCUCUGCAAAUAUAGAGUAAGCAUAAGAUUUUCUUAUCCUACGUGUACCGUCUAUUGAUGUUUAGUGUGCACUUUGUUUAUUCUUAUGUGCACCUUAUCAGACUUUGAGAAAAGAUUGUACAAUGUUGUAUCAUUUGUCAGAUGAAAUACUUGCAUCUUACCUGAUUUGUUGUUUUUAAGCACUAAUUAACAUCUUAGGAUGUCAAACUUUUGUUGUAUAAUUUUUUUAAAAAGCAUGAUUGGUAUGCAAGAUGAGUCAAACAAAAUAGCCAAUAAAUUUGUUGGGAUCAACCUGUUUUGACCCAUUUAUGACACUUCAAAUGUGGUGCAACCCAUUUCUUUGAUAUCAAAUUAGAUGAAAGGAAGAAAAAAGAGAUACAAACACAUGUCUCAAUAAAUACUACACCCAAUUCUUUGGUAAUUCGUAAAGUUUUAUUAAUCAACAAGUGUAACAUGGAUAUUAUUCAAUUACAACUCUUAACUUACGAUACAAAUAUCUUUUAUGAGUUUUUCUUCAAUAUUUUACAAAUAUUUUUUAUUGAGUCACUCUUAGAUGUGUAAAAAAAAUUUGACAAACAAGACACUUUUAACUUACAAUGCAAAAAUAGUUAAAAUUAUAUAUAAACACUAAGGUUAAAUAGACAAAAGUUUCAAUUGAUUCUAGACUAAUACAAUUAUAAGCUCACUUUAUAUCAGAAGUUACUCUAAAAAAAUAUUUCAAUGGUGAUUUUUUACAGAGAAAAAACAAUUCAAAAGACUAUUUAAAAAAAACUUCAAAACUUGAUGUAUAACUAUUCUAUUACUAUAUAUUUUCUUGUGUAUGUAUUCUUGUUUUUUCAGUUUCUUUAUAUACUUGAUGCGGAUAAAAUUAGUUGUUAAGAUUGACUGUUUUUCUUUAUGACUUCUUCAACUUUAGACUUAUUUUUCAUGAAAUUGUUCUUCUACUACAAGAAAAAGUAUAUUUAACUGCAAAAAAAAGAGUGAGGGUGGCAUGUGGACACUAAAUAGUGUCAAAUAUGCCUUCACACUACAAAAAAAAAAUCAUAUAUAAAAUGACGAUUUUAAUAUGGCGGUUAUUACUAAUCGUCACAAAUUUCCGUAUAAUAUGACAUUUUAGUAACCGUCACAAUUAUCCUUUAAAAUAUGUCAUUUUUAACUGUCAUAAUUAUCCUUUAAAAUAAAAUUCCCGCAUUUUUUUUAAAACUUGCUUUUAACACCGAAUGCACUAACUCUUCACACUUUUCAUACACCUCUCUUCCCUCUCUCUGUAAGCUGCCAUCUCUCUCUGUAAGUUGCCUUCACAAAACUCUUUUGCCUUCACGAAACACUCUCACCUUCAGUCACUCUCGCGCGCCCUAAACCCUCACUCUCGCGCCUUUCACUGUCCGUCAUCGCCACCUCGUCACGCCCUUCAUUGUCCGCCAUCGCCGCCUCCUCGCGCGCAAGGAUUUGAAACUUUUGUCUAGGUUUGUGAUCAGGUUUAGUGUCGUCUUCAUCUUCGUCUUCGCUUGCUGCAAAAGCUAGCAAAGCUUAUUUGGCGCGUCACGACUCAUCCAUGUCCUCUCUCUAUGGUCUCUCCUCUGCUUCUGCUUCUCCGACAACUCCUUUUGAACCCAUUCCAACUCCUCAUCCUUCCUCCAAGGUCCACUUCUCUCUUUAGAAAAUAUGAAAAUUCUGAUGUAUAUGCUAAGUGUGAUUGUACUAUUUUGAUUUCAAUUUGUUCGUUGUAUAUUAUUGCUCAUGAGAUGUCUGCUGGAUAGGGUUUAUUGAAUAUUUUUUUAUCGAGCGAGAAGAAAAUAAGAGAAAUCUUCUUAAAUGGAGAAUAGGCAAAGGGAAAUAGAGUAGUUUAGUUUAAAAGAGCUUCGUAAAAUCUCUGCAUCAAUGAAUGUGUUAAAGAAAUCCUGUUAAAGUAAUGGUACGAACUAUGGAAAAGUGGGGAACACUUCCUAUGCUAGUGAAACAUCAUAACUGUAUUUGGAUGUUGUGAGGUAGUUGUUGAUGCGCAUUGUUUCCUGUGCAAUCCUGUGAAGCUCGGAUACAGCAAAAAUCACGCUGUUACCGCUUCCGACACGCUUCCGACACGGGUGCGCGGUGGGUGCGUGCACGACGCGGUGUCGGACGCACCUGCCUGGGCCGGAUACGGCCCUCUUCCAGGACACGUCGGAGGAGACGCGGUCCACUCCUUCGACACGGCGGAUGGCGCGCGGUCCACUCCUGGGACACGGCGGACGGACGGCGGACGGACACGGUGCACUCUUUAAACCCUUAUUUCACAGAAAAUCUUAACUAAAAUCUCAAAUAAAAUCCUUAUUUCACAGAAAAUCUUAACUAAAAUCUCAAAUAAAACCCUUAUUUCACAGAAAAUCUUAACUAAAAUCUAAAAUAAAACCCUUAUUUCACAUAAAAUCUUAACUAAAAUAUCAAAUAAAACCCUUAUUUCACAUAAAAUCUUAACUAAAAUCUCAAAUAAAAUCAUAAAAUCUUAAACAAAUCAUUUAAAUAAAAAUAUAUAUAUAAAUCUUUAAAAAUUCCAGAAAUAAAAAAGAAAAUUAAGAAUAAAUAAUAUAUUUUAUUUUAAAAAAAAUUAUAAUUUGAAAAAUAAACUUUAUAAAUAUGAGUUAGAACCAGUGCAUUGGUGAACUCAAGUGGAUUUUUAUAAAUGUUUUUCUUGAUUUUUUUCAUAUAACAAAAUAUAUUACUACAUUUUAAUUUAUACAUAGCCGUGUCCCGUGUCCUAUAAUUUUCAAUUUAGCCGUAUCUCCGUGUUCGUGUCCGUAUCCGUUCCUGUACCCGUGUCUGGGCUUCAUAGGUGCAAUCGCAAAAAGUGGUGCAGGGAAAUGGAGGUCUUCUUAGAUUUUAGGGUUCGUGUUGUUGUUAUGUAGUGUAGCAUACAGGGUGUUAUCAUUCUUCAGUUUCAUAUUGUGGUUGCAAUACGAGCAGGGUGUGAAAGUGAUAUCAACUUUAGCAAAAGUAGUCAAAACCUUGUGUAUGUAAACGCUGUCAACUUAAAACCUCCACAGUACCUUCGUAUUAGCAACUUUUGAUCUUUAGGAUUGCAGUGUUUGUGUAUAGCUCUGUAUUUUUCUAAGUGUGCCUUCUCAUCUUUUGUAUAAUUCUCCCUCGUUUGGUGAAUUCUUUUAUUAGUUUUUUGCCCCUAAUUUAGGUCAGCUGCUUCUUUUAAUUGUUGAUGUCUGGAUAAUUCCAAUUCCGAAAUUGGUUAUUACUUAAAAGUAAAAAGUGGAUGAGUCUGUUACAACUAAUUCUGAUUUAAUUUUAUUUUUUUAUGAGUGAAUCCGUUAAGGUUGGAAGUUCAUUUCAAGGUAUGCAUACUUUUUAUGUCUCUUUUAAUGUGUAUUCUUAGUAUUUAGAGUAUCACUAUGUUGAUUCAAAAUAAUAGUCAUUUUGUGGUGCUGUAUAUAUAGGAUUCAAGACCCUAUGAAUAUACAUCCAUGAAGAACAUGAACGAGUCCAAGAAUGGAUUUUGGGGUGUUCUAGCCAGAAAAGCCAAGUCAAUUAUCGAGGAUGAUAAUGUACCCCAGCAAUCUGAAAUGGGUGGAGUGGGAAGGUCACAAUUUCCUGGUGUAGCAUCUAGGGGCAAGGUGAGUUUAGAAUAAUAUCUCAAAUUCUCAGCAGAGAUGUUGCUUAGAAUGUUAUAUCUAGAAAAUAAAAGUCAAUUAAAUAUCAAAUCAAUCAUGUGUCAUAUUCAUGUGAAUAUGUGAGAGUUCUCGAUUAGCUUCAACACUCAACAGGUUUCUGAAGUUAUCAGAUAACAAGGGAUUGUUGACGACCCUUGUUAUAGAUGCAAUCAUAUAUUCGAACUGAAACCAAAUUAUUGUUUUGAACAUUUAGCAUUCGUCCGAGCUUUUACUUUUUAAUAUUAUUUUGUUCUUUUCUACAAUCUAAAGUCCCAAUAGAGCAAGAAUUUAAGGCUAUUUCUGAAUGAUGUUAGUCAAAGUUGUCUUAUGGAAUGAUAUUUAUUAAUUUAAAGUUAUAGAACAAAUUAGAGAACUAGACAAAAAGCAUAAUUUUGGCACAAAGUAAACGAUGAAUGCUAAGGUAUCAUUUGUGUACAUAAAAGCAAACACAAAUAACUUACUGAUUUUCAUCUCACUUUUGGUGCAGACAGAACGGUGGCAGAAAAAAGGAAAGAUGAUUAGAAAGGAAAGCAAUAAAAGCAAUAAACAAAUAUGCAGAUAGAAAAUGAGUUUCUGACUAAGGUAAGCAUCAUUGGAAAGUUUAACUACAUGAACUUAAUAUGCAUGUUUGGGAUAGUGCAUAGGUUGUUGGUUUAUGAGUACAUGGAGAAUGGUUAUUUACCUUAGACCCUUUCAUCAGGUUCAAAUACACUUCAAUGGAGCAAAAGGUAUAACAUUGCCCUAGGGACCGCAAGGGUGUUCAUGGACUAAAUAAAAAUAUUUUAAUAGAUUUAGAAGAAACUGAAACUUGCAUCCAAAGAAAAAAAAUUAAGAAUUUAAAAUUAUUCAAACAUAUACUAACAUUGUUUGUUAAUUUAAAAUUAUAUAUUGAUAUAUUUUUUCUGUAAAAUAUUAAGAUAUUAUUUCUCUUAUUUUAGUUUCAUUAACCUAGUUUUAUAUUAUUAUUUUUACUCUAGUGGAGGAAUUUAGCACGGGUAGGUGAAUAGGAAAUCAAAGCAUGCAUGAAUGUAUACACCUGUUUGGCACUCGUUAAUUUCCAGCCAUAUAUGCUACUUAAAUAUAUUUCAUGCCACCUACUUCUUUCGUUUUCAUCUUUUAUUUUAUAAUUAUAAAUAUUGAAAAUUCUUAACAUCAAAUUAUUUAUUAUUUAUUUUAGGUAACAGAUGUUGGAAGUGUUGCUCCAUCACCUUAUCAAGUAAUAAGAUCAAGUGCAUAAAGUAAAAUUGAUCAAGGAAGAUGGAAAAGAAAACUAAUUAGGGAUGAACAUGUUGUAAUAGUUUGAAUGUUCUAUGAUAUUUAAAAAUAUUGUGGUUUCUUUACUUUUGAACAAUUAUGUAUCAACUUGUUCUAAUUUUCAAAUGAUAUAAUGUGUGUUUCUAAUUUAUGCUUAUAAAUUUUUAUAGUAUUUCAUUUUAUUAACAUUUAUAUUUUUUAUUAUGAAAACAUAUUUAAUUAAAUACUAUUAUAAUUAAAUAUGUUUAGUUGUUUAAUUAUACAAACUAGAUUAUAAAAAAAUAUCGGCUAAAUUUCAUUUUUUUAGAAUGAAAAUUAUUUCAGUUCAAAACGUCAUAAUAUACCUUAUCUAAUGGUGUCAAAAAUAUUUUUUAAUGAAUUAAAUUGCGACAGUUAUAACUGACACUACUUAGCAAGUUCUAUGGUGGUUUGAAAAAUCGUCACACAUGUAUAUUGUGGCGGUUAUAAACGUUAGUUUAUACGAAAAUAACCGCCACAAUAUACACUAUUUUUUGUAGUGUCACUAUUAAAAAAAUCAAAUAAAAUAUGAGAAAGCGUGGGUUAUACUCACGCAAACUUAAAAAAAAAUAAAAAAAGGUUGCGUUGGUCAAACGGUCACUACUGAAAAUAUAAAUAAUAAUAAAAUUUUAAAUUUUUGAAGGUUAAGCCCACGAUAUGCCUUUAAAGGUUAAGCUCACGCUAUGCUACUUAAAGUUUUGAAGGUUUACCCACGCUAUGUAUUUUAAAAUUAAAAAUAAUAAAAUUAUGAAGGUCAACGUACACAAAUAAUUAAUUUAUUUGAAAACUUCUAAUUGUUUGGGUGUUUGAAAACUGCAUAACGUACACAUAACGAACUCGAAUGUCAGCUUGAGCAUUUUCGACUGAUGAGAGCAUUUUCGAUUGCGAGCUUGAACAUUUUCGAGCGCUUGAGUAGUGCGACCGUGAAAAUGUGCGACAAUCGUGAGUUUCACAUUUCCUUUUUUAAUCUUUGUGUAUUGAAGACUCAACCCUAGGUUCUUGAUUUCUCUCUGUGUUUUUUGGAGUUCUUGAUAUUCAAUGGUUUGAAGGUAUAACCCUAACACAUUAUUUCCUUCUCAAUGAUUUUCUGUGUUUUUGAAGUUCUUGAUUUUCAUGGAUUGUGUUUGCUUAUGUGGUGAUGCACGCUCACUUUUGUGUUAUUGAGCAUUUGAUGUAGUUUUGUUACCCAUUUUUCCUUCUAUUCUUUGAUUUUGCACUGUUUGAUUUAAGGGGUUGAUAUCCAACCCUAAUAGUAAUGUUUUUUGGGGUGGGUUUCAAUUUCAAUUUACAUAUUUAAGGGUGAUUCUGGUGACCAACAUGUCAACUUAAAAAUAUUAGUUCAUCUCAAAUCAGAUCUAGUGAGACUAUGAGUGAAUCUGUUUGACAAUGAGCAGAGUUGUUCUUCUGCCAUAUGCAUCUGUAAAAUGGAAUUUGGAUUAGAUUUGAAUAAGUUACAGCUCUAUACUUCUUCAUUAUCUAUUAUUUUAAUAAGCAUUGUUUUCUUACACUCAAUGUUGAUUUCAUAAUAAUGCUCAUGAAUCAUGAUUCUUGACUAUAAUUGUUGAUAUUGUCAGAAAACACCCGUCAUGUGUCGCCUGCACCCGCCAAUAUCUUUACGUCGACUACAUUAGCUUCGAAAUUCUCAUUAAUACUAAGCCCACGAUAAUUACCCUUUUGAGUCCGGUUUUUCAUGGUUAGAAUCCGUUCUUGGUAUAUGCUAAUAAACUUUUUUUUAAUGUUCCCAUUCAAAUGUUGAUGCAUUUUAAUACUUGAUAUAAAAUCAUAAAUGUUGCAUUAUGCAACUCUUAUAUGAAAUUGUAGGGUAAGAUAGUUGAUGCAAUUUAUUAGUCUUAGUUAAUGUAUUUUCUCUUAGGUGUUAUUUUGUUUUUGUAUGAUAACUUGUGAACUAGGUGGUGGAGCAGGUACAACAAUGCUUUGCAACAAAAACGUGUUUUUGAGAAGCUUUGUUAUGAUUUCUAAACGUUGUACCUUUACUGAGAAACAUUGUGUGACCUUCUUCAAAACCUGCAAACGAAAUGAACGAAAUAAACAAAAGAAACAUUAAUUUGUUCAAUAAAUCCUUUAAUAAACUUUCAUACACACGUCUACUAAACUAUGCGUCCAAAAGUUAUUCUUAUUUAUAAGUUUUUACUUAUGAGAGAGCCUCUGCAAAUAUUUAAGUAAAUAAUAUUUAAAUAUUUAGACAAAAAUAUUAUUUCUUUUUUCAAUUAUAUUAUGACGAAGAAUUGUUAAUAACAUCAGGCACAAUACUAAUUUCUUUUAAGUGAGAUAUAAUGACCAAUAAACUCUUCCACCUAUCAAUCACAUUAUAUAUAUAAAACAUGGAAAUAUGUCUUAAAUUUGAUAAGUUUCCUACAUCCAAUUCAGCAAAAUUUAAUUAAAAAAUUCAACUCCAACAUAUAUUAUUGGCAACCCUGGUCCUCAAUGGUGACAUUUUCAUAGCAUUUCCAUUUAUGUAAUCUAAAUACAACCUAAAAUGAUAUAUAUAAUAUAAUGAUUAGUAAUUAUACCUUUAAAGGGGUUAAGAUAUUAUUGGUUAUCAGCUGAACAAUUAAUUUCUUUUAAUCGAUCGUGUUUUUUACUUCGAUCGGAAAUACCACACAAAAGAAAUUAUCAAACGCUCAGUGAGUAUUUAAAUUUAGAUACUAUUAAUAUUAUAAUGAUGAUGUAUAUUUGUUUUUUCUGAUGUACUUGUUUAUUUCUAUGAUUGUAAUUGAAUUUAUUAGUGAUGGACAAUAAUUAAUGUAUAUAACUAUAAAAUAAAAUUUGUCACAUUUUGAUGUAUUCAUUCUAACACUAUAAGAUGACCGAAAAUUAUAGGUUCAUCUGACCAUGAGGGGGACCCUGACCGUAUGUAAUUGUUCAAAAUUAAAAAAAAAAAAAAACAAAAAACUUCCCACGAGGGCCACGCGUGUUAUAUUAUACUGUAACAUAAAGAAUGGUGUAAACCGUAUUAUAUAUUUAAAAAUACAUCACCUUUCUUGGAACUACAAUCCCCUGCUGUUAGAAACACAGCGCAUGAAGUUGCUGUUCAAUCUUUACCAUUCAUUCUAUGAUCUUGUUUUCAUGAAACUUCUAUAAACGAAUAUGAUAUUAAUCAGUGAAUCUGACGUCCAACUAUAGUAAUUGAUUUUGAUACAUCAAAGAACAAAAGACAUUCAUUAAUAUAUGUAAUGAAUCACGUGCUCCAUUCUUGGUUUAAUAAAUAUGCAAGCACGUGGCACUCGCGGAGACCAAAUAAUGAGAUAUAAAUAGCCACUCUUGGUCAUCGUCUUCUUCAUCAUCGUCAUCAUAAUCAGCAUCAGAGGAAGAGAAGAAGAAACAAUGGAGUCAGCAGGACCUUUGAAGAUAUACUUCCUCCCAUUCUUCGCACAAGGCCAUCAAAUCCCACUGGUUCAGCUCGCUCGCUUGAUUGCCGCACGUGGCCACCACGUCACAAUCGUCACCACUCCCGCCAACGCCCAACUCUUCCAAAAAACCAUCCACGACGACAUAGUCUCCGGCCACCACAUCCGCGUCCGCCUCAUCAAAUUCCCCAACACCCACCUCGGUCUACCGGAAGGCGUGGAAAAUCUCGUUUCAGCCACCACCAGCGCCACCGCCGGAAAAAUCCACAUGGCGGCGCACCUCAUCCAGUCUGAGGUCGAAGCUGCCCUGAAAGAGUCCCCUCCCGAUGUCUUCAUCCCUGACAUCCUCUUCACCUGGAGCAAGGACCUGUGCAAGAGUCUUCAAAUCCCGCGGCUCGUCUUCAACCCCAUAUCCAUCUUCGACGUGUGCAUGAUCCAGGCCAUUAAAGCCCACCCCGAAGCCUUUCUCUCCGAUUCGGGGCCCUACCAGAUUCCUGGUCUUCCCCACCCUCUCACUCUACCGGUGAAACCCUCGCCGGGUUUCGCAGCACUGACGGAAUCUCUUCUUGAAGGUGAAGAGGGGAGUCAUGGAGUUAUCGUGAACAGUUUCGCUGAACUCGACGCUGAGUACACUCAGCAUUACGAAAACCUGACAGGAAGAAAAGUGUGGCAUGUGGGCCCCAGCUCCCUCAUGGUGGAACAAAGCGUUAAGAAACCUGCCAUUGUCAACGAGACCAGACACGAGUCUCUGACGUGGCUUGACUCAAAGGAGAAAGACUCGGUUCUCUAUGUUUGCUUCGGAAGCCUCUCUCUUCUUUCGGACAAGCAGCUUUAUGAACUGGCCACCGCCCU
rnacentral:lncRNA from 1 species